rnacentral:rRNA from 1 species
CCUACGGGAGGCAGCAGUGGGGAAUUUUGGACAAUGGGCGCAAGCCUGAUCCAGCAAUGCCGCGUGAGUGAAGAAGGCCUUCGGGUUGUAAAGCUCUUUCAGUCGAGAAGAAAAGGUUGUGACUAAUAAUCAUAACUCAUGACGGUAUCGACAGAAGAAGCACCGGCUAACUACGUGCCAGCAGCCGCGUAAUACGUAGGGUGCGAGCGUUAAUCGGAAUUACUGGGCGUAAAGUGUGCGCAGGCGGUUCUGUAAGUCAGAUGUGAAAUCCCCGGCUUAACCUGGGAACUGCGUUUGAAACUACAGGACUAGAGUGUGGCAGAGGGGGGUGGAAUUCCAUGUGUAGCAGUGAAAUGCGUAGAGAUAUGGAAGAACAUCGAUGGCGAAGGCAGCCCCCUGGGUUAACACUGACGCACAUGCACGAAAGCGUGGGGAGCAAACAGGAUUAGAUACCCUGGUAGUCCACGCCCUAAACUAUGUCAACUAGUUGUCGGGUCUUAUUAGACUUGGUAACGUAGCUAACGCGUGAAGUUGACCGCCUGGGGAGUACGGUCGCAAGAUUAAAACUCAAAGGAAUUGACGG